rnacentral:rRNA from 1 species
AUACGGAGGGUGCGAGCGUUAAUCGGAAUUACUGGGCGUAAAGCGUACGUAGGCGGUUGGUUAAGUUAGAUGUGAAAGCCCCGGGCUUAACCUGGAACUGCAUUUAAAACUGGCGAACUAGAGUUGAGUAGAGGGGAGUGGAAUUUCAGGUGUAGCGGUGAAAUGCGUAGAGAUCUGAAGGAACACCAGUGGCGAAGGCGACUCCCUGGACUCGAACUGACGCUGAGGUACGAAAGCGUGGGUAGCAAACCGGAUUAGAAACCCUAGUAGUCC